rnacentral:rRNA from 1 species
GACGAACGCUGGCGGCGUGCCUAACACAUGCAAGUCGAACGAGACUGAUUAGAAUGAGAUUUCGGUUGAUUUCUAUGAAAGUCGAGUGGCGGACGGGUGAGUAACACGUGGGUAACCUGCCUUACAGAGGGGAAUAACAGUUUGAAAAGACUGCUAAUACCGCAUAAGCACACAGUACCGCAUGGUACGGGGUGAAAAGAUUUAUCGCUGUAAGAUGGACCCGCGUCUGAUUAGCUAGUUGGCAGGGUAACGGCCUACCAAGGCGACGAUCAGUAGCCGACCUGAGAGGGUGAUCGGCCACAUUGGGACUGAGACACGGCCCAAACUCCUACGGGAGGCAGCAGUGGGGGAUAUUGGCACCAAAUGGAGGAAACUCUGAUGCAGCGACGCCGCGUGAGUGAAGAAGUAUUUCGGUAUGUAAAGCUCUAUCAGCAGGGAAGAUAAUGACAGUACCUGACUAAGAAGCCCCGGCUAACUACGUGCCAGCAGCCGACGG